UGGGGAAUUUUCUGCAAUGGGCGAAAGCCUGACAGAGCAAUACCGCGUGAGGGAAGAGAGCCCACAGGGUUGUAAACCUCUUUUGUCAAGGAAGAAGUUCUGACGUUACUUGACGAAUAAGCAUCGGCUAACUCCGUGCCAGCAGCCGCGGUAAGACGGAGGAUGCAAGUGUUAUCCGGAAUUACUGGGCGUAAAGCGUCUGUAGGUGGUUUAGUAAGUCUAUUAUUAAAGCUUGAAGCUCAACUUCAAAAAUGUAAUAGAAACUAUUAAACUUGAGGAUAGUAGGGGUAAAGGGAAUUUCCAGUGGAGCGGUGAAAUGUGUAGAGAUUGGAAGGACCACCAAAGGCGAAGGCACUUUACUAGGCUAUUUCUGACACUAAGAGACGAAAGCUAGGGGAGCAAAUGGGAUUAGAUACCCCCGUAGUCC
rnacentral:rRNA from 1 species